rnacentral:rRNA from 1 species
CCUACGGGGGGCUGCAGUGGGGAAUAUUGGGCAAUGGGCGCAAGCCUGACCCAGCAACGCCGCGUGAAGGAAGAAGGCUUUCGGGUUGUAAACUUCUUUUGUUAGGGAAGAGUAGAAGACGGUACCUGACGAAUAAGCCACGGCUAACUACGUGCCAGCAGCCGCGGUAAUACGUAGGUGGCAAGCGUUGUCCGGAGUUACUGGGUGUAAAGGGCGUGUAGCCGGGUUGACAAGUCAGAUGUGAAAGCCUGCGGCUUAACCGAAGAACUGCAUUUGAAACUGUUGAUCUUGAGUACUGGAGAGGCAGAUGGAAUUCCUGGUGUAGCGGUGAAAUGCGUAGAUAUUAGGAGGAACACCAGUGGCGAAGGCGGUCUGCUGGACAGCAACUGACGGUGAGGCGCGAAAGCGUGGGGAGCGAACAGGAUUAGAUACCCGAGUAGUC